rnacentral:rRNA from 1 species
GACAGAGGUCUCAAGCGUUUAGGCGGAAUCACUGGGCUUAAAGCGUGUGUAGGCGGAUUCCUAAGUACCUUGUGAAAUCCCCGGGCUUAACCCGGGGAACUGCUUGGUAUACUGGGUGUCUUGAGCCAACUAGGGGCGACCGGAACAAACGGUGGAGCGGUGAAAUGCGUAGAUAUCGUUUGGAACGCCAAUGGUGAAAACAGGUCGCUGGGGUUGUGCUGACGCUGAGACACGAAAAGCCAGGGGAGCGAACGGG